AUUGAAGAAUUCAAUGCCGAAUGAAUUCAAAUACCACAAAGAAGACGAAGAGACCUUUGAAUCGUCUCACAAUGCUUUUCGGUCAGCUUUUCCAAGAGGAUUCUAGUGGGAAGUGAUCAACGUGUAUACUGGCCCUCCCGUUGUGACAUACAAAUUUAGGCAUUGGGGUUUCUUUGAAGGACCAUUGAAAGGACAUGCACCUACUGGUGAGAUGAUACAGUUCUACGGCAUUGGCAUUAUGAAGGUCUAUCUCCCUCUCUCUUAUAUAUACACAUAUAUCGUUUUCAUUUAUGUGACAUUUUGUUAAGGUUCAAAAUUUAACUAAAACAAGACUUUAAAAUUUAUGAUUUUAUACAAAACUUAGAUAUAUUAGGGUUGCAAAUUAUGUAAUUACAGGUAAAAUGGCAAUCUCAAACUUUAGAUUAAAAUUUGCACAUACUAAAUAACCUUGAAAAUAGUUGAUCUUGUACAUUUGGCCACACUUGCCUUAGAUAAACUUUUACGGUCAAAACUCAAACGUGUUGCCCUUGGAACAAAAAUUUUGUCCAUGAGUUCAAGACCACAUAUUUACUAGGUCGUUCAUGUAAAUGAUCACCUCGGCUAGAAUCUUAUUGAGUCACUUAGAAUUAGUCCAAUAUAAAGAAUUAAAGUUCACAUACAUUAGUAUAAAACUUAUGAGUUUAACUAACUAUUUGUUUUUGUAUAUUUGCAGGUAGAUAAAUAUCUAAGAAUGGAGGAAUUAGAGUUAUACUAUGAUCCAACAGAACUUUUUGUUGGACUACUCAAGGGACCAAAAAUAUCUGAAUCUAACAUUGAGCAAGGCCAGGAUGAUAAUACCACCACUCAACAGUGCCCAUUAUUCAACCACAGCUAAUUAUGUCAAAUUUCACUUCUUCAAUAAAAUUUUGGUACUUCCCAAAUAGCAAUGUUUUAAUAAAGUGUAUGCAACUCUAUUUCCAAAUAGUCAUGUUAUAAUAAAGUGUAUGUAACUCUAUUUCCAAAUAAUCAUGUUUCAAUAAAUUUUAUGCAACUCUUUAUAUUUUUUCAGUAAAAAAACUUUCUCUAUUUACAUUUUUCUUGAUAUGAUGAUUGUCUUUCAUUUUUCCUGUAUACAUUAAGAUAUGCCUACUCUUCUUAAGCCAUAAGGAUUAUUAUGAAAAAUGAGAAAAGUGAACUUAAUUGAAUCGAUUCGUUUGAUUUCAAACUAAAUUGGGUUGAUGCAAAAAUCUUACUUACAUCUUUGGUGUUUCUAUCAAUCAAACAAUUAUAUAUACUCAAGCAAAGAGAAUACAAAGAAGAAAAAAAUAGCCAAAUGGACAUUUGGAGAUGCACACCAUUGAAUUACCUCCCUCCACCCGCCCCUCCCCCUUAAUUCCUUACUCCCCAUCCUAUCACGAUCCAAAGGGUUGUGAAUGACAUAAGCAAUUUUCUCAAAUGCAAACUUAGUUCCCUCACCACAAAGAUAACCCUAUCGCUCACAUAUAAAUAUUUGUGUAUGAGGGACAAUAGGAAACACUCUCUCAUAAUGAAAUUCAAACCAUGCAUACAUAACUCAUUAUUUUGUCCUUAUUAUUUUGGCACCAACUUUACAAACAAUAAGACUAGGAUUACUAUAUAUAGGUUUUUCUUAACUCAUAACAUAGGCUUGAGCCAAAGGUAGGAUACAUUUGGGGGCAAUGACUACGCCCUCCUUGUUACCCUUUUUACCUUGUUUUCCUUUCUUUUGUUAGACAAUCUUUUCUCUUCCUUUGAGUCGUUAAUUAAUAAUAUUUCGAAUGUGACUCCCCUUCCUUUCUCUGUUUUCAUUCACUAUUCCUUUUUUUCAAUUUGAAGGUAAAUACAUUCAAACUAUCUUAAUACAUCAUAUCCACAUGUGUUGAUCAUUUCUAACCUAUAUUUUUCAUACUCCAUUGUACUUUUCUUAUAUACUCAUGGUAGUCACCCUCAAUUUAGGCAUUUUCAUGAGUGGGUACAUGAUGUCUAAGGAGGGACAGGGUCUAAGGAAGGUAAACAUAUGACAACAAACAUGCUUUCAUUUAGGCUCAAAAUUAGGGACAGGGUCUAAUUUUGUGAGGCAUUUUUACCUAUGUAGGAAAAAUAGGACAAUAAAUCUGUGAAAUUAGACUCAUUGCUUAACAUCUGGUGCAUGGGCAAUUUAAUUUUGCGGGCAUACUCUGAUACCAUGUAAAAUUAGGUCUUAGGCCUAACUCACACCCUAAAAGCUAGCUCAAAGGGAGGAAGAUUGCCCAAACAUUAUAAGGAGUCCACCCAUCUCAUUAACCAACGAUGUGGAAGUUUUGUUAUUCUUUAACAAAAUCAGGUGGAAAGCAUAUGGUGGUAGAUAAAUUAUCUUUUCUCUUAGCUUACUGGUGGUGCGUCAGAUCGAGGCAUCAUCAUGAGUUAUUUUGAGUUGCUUUCAUAAUUUUGUGUUAACAGUUUGCUAUGAUAUUAAAGUUACAUAGCUCAAACAAUUCGUAAAAAUCUAAUAACAUAGAGAAAUGUCAAUGUCAUUCAAGUUUGUAAAAUCCAAUUUUUCUUCUGUUAGAAAUGGUUUAAUAUAUGAACUCCACUUUAGACGAAUUAUAAAUAUGUUUUUGAAAUCUAAUACGUACAUAUACUCUUUAUUUACAUAUGUUGAUACUGAAAUCUAUUUUUUAUUUUAUGAAUUCAAAUGCAUUAUAUUAUAGGACAAGUUCUUCCUAGCUAGUUUUUUCGAUGUAUAAAUCUUCUACGUAUUAUUGUUAGUAUCUUUGUGUAAGAAAUUUAUUUUGCAGCGAAUUCUGGACUCUUUGGGAACAUACCUAAAACUAUCAUGAAGACUAUAAAGUCUAGUUUGUUUCAGUUUAAUUAUAUUUUCGAAGCUAAAUUACAACACAAGACCAUUGGGCUGUCUAGAUAUACUACUUUAAUAUAUUAUUAGUGUGAUUAUCUCAAGCUACUCACUUUUCAUGCUAAUGUUGUUUCUGAAACUAUUAGGUACUUGCUUGCAUAUAGCUAGAAGGUGUAUGUACAAGCUAAAAGAAAGGACUACUUGAUGCAUUUGUUUGGUCAAUGAUUUGAGCUCUUCAAGUUGUAGUAGGAGUAUAAUUUAUGUGCUAAAAAACUAAACUUGAACUCUCAAUAUAUGUUGGACUUUUUCAACUACUAUCUUGAAACUUUUGUUUACUUUUAUAUCGUUGUAUCGUAUUUCUAAAUAAGUUUGAAAUGUUUGUUAAUUCGUCACUUGUACAAAUUGCUUGAUCAUUUUGCAUUCGUGUUGGACCUUUGUCCUUUUUGUGGCUUUGACUUUAAUUUGUCAUCAUAUCGCAUGCCUCUUGUUUAGAAUUUUUUGUCAUCUUGACUUUGAAUUUGUGGUUCAUCUAAGUUAUGGAAAUUGUACACAAACUAGAAGUCAUUUUAAACAUUGUUCUUGAUUUCUUGAUGAUUAUUGGGUUUCAGCCCUAUUUAUACUAGGCUUUGAUCCUUCUCAAUAUUUGAUUAUGCUUGAUGUAAUAACAUAACAUAUAUAUUGAGCAAAACAUGUUAGUAUUUGACAUUAUGUGAAAUAGUUACAUGAGCUUUCUUGAACUCGAGUCUUUAAAAGUUGAAAUUGAUACUUUUUCAAAGUCUUGUAUGAAGUGAUGUAUAUAGACAUCUAUAUUUUGUAAUAAUUAUGAGAAUCGUAUGUAAUUCCUAUAUUACAUCUAUACAUAUAUAAAGUAAAUUUGAAUCUGGUGACUUAUUGGCUGCUUUGAAGUGUGUAACUCAGGUCGUGCAGUGUAUUGAAGUCACGUUUUGGUUAUAAUAUAGUAUAAUGGAUUCAAGUCAUGCAACUAGUAUACUUCUUUAAUAUUCAAAAGUUUAAAAAUAGUUUAAAACAGUAGGACCCUAAUGUUGUGUUGAAUAAUAAAGAAAAACAAUUGGAAGGUGCUUAAUUAUUUGAGAAAAGACAUAAAGUUAAAGUUGCCUCAAAUUUUCAAAAAAACAUCUUAACUUUGCAAUUGUCCUAUUACUCCACUAGACAAUUUUGAAUAGAUAUUAUUAUACCAUUUUCAAUCAACCCCAAAUUUUAAGAAGGAAGUGAGUUCACACCCAAAUUAUUACAUGACACGUGUUAAUUUAAUUAAAAAUAUUUUUUUUUCAUUUUAAAUUUUUCCUUUUAUCUUUUUCUUUCUUUAUUUCUCUCUAUCUCUCUCUCUCUCUUACUUUUGAAUUUAAAUUUUGAUAUAUCUAAAUUUCAUUUCAUCUUCCACCUCCCACUUUCAAGUGAUUCAUCUCUUCAUUUUCUUUUAUUUUCUUCUCCUCCCAUCCUCCAUGUCAAAUUGAAACUCACUUCCAUUUUUUUCUUCUUCUUCUUCUCCCGUCAAAUUCUUCAUAAAUUCAUACUAUUAUUUAAAGUUUAUUGAAUUAUUGAUAACAAAAUUAAUUAUUUUUUAAAAAAUUUAAAAUUUCGAAGCUAUCAUCAACUACUCAUUUUCAUAUAAAUUUAAAAUUGAAAUGAUAAUUUUAAAAGAAUCAAUUAAUUUCUCAAAAAUUGAAAGAACUUAAUUGAAUCGAAUAAAAAACUGUAUGAUACUUCCUAAUCAUCUUGAAAUCUAAUCAGUUUAUCGAAUUAUUUGAAAUGUAAGAAAAUAUUUAGAUAAAAUUUUAAAACUAAAGAGAGAAACUAAUAGUAAAAAAAAAAAAAGGAAGGUGAAGUUGUGAUAACAAUGGUGACAUUAAAAUGAAUGGAGAUGACAAUGAAUUUUUUAAAAGAAAGCAGAAAGAAAGAGAAAAAUAGUUAAAAUAAUAAGAAAAAUAAGAAAAUAUAUUUUAUAAUAAAAUAUUGUAAAAAUAAAAUUAUAUUAGUUAUUUUAGGCUGUCUACUCUCUUUAAGAGAGUGCACACCACUCUCUAUGUCAGAUGGACGAAAAAUGAUAUAAUUAUAUCCAUUCAAAAUUGUUUUGUUGGGUAAUAGGACAAUUGCAAAGUUAAGUGGUCUUUUAAAAAUUCGGGACGACUUUAGUGAUGACUUUAUAUUUUUUCUCUAAUUAUUUUGAUAUUCAUUUUAAUGUGCAAUUGAGUCUUCAAUAAACUUUUAAGAUCUUUAAGAAUAGGCCUAAUUUCUACCAUUAAAUUAUAAGUGAAUAUUUUAUUUAUUUACUUAUUUCUAAAAUUAGUCUUUUAAACGUUACGAGUAGUAGAUUAGUUUUUGUUUUGCACGUGACAUACAAGGUCGCUACAUAUAUUGAGAUAUCAACUGUUGCAUUUAUAUUGUUGGAUCAUCACCUCCUUCAAUAUGUCAUAUUAUACAAUAUAUUGGACCAUCACCUUCUUCAGCGAGAUAUUAGAUCGGCACCUCGUUCAAUGUGACAUAUUAUACAACGUUGAACUGUUACUUCCUUUAACGUAACAUAUUAGAUUAUGUUGGAUCAUCACCUCUUUCGAUAUGACAUAUUAAUGUUUAAUUAAUACUUGUCUACUCCUUUCUUUUCUUUGAAAUUUUUGGUUUCAAAUGCAUGAGAUAAUGACUUUUGUUUUGAUUAUAUAAUAUUCCUUAUGUCCUCAAUUAUUUGUCCAUUUUUUCUUUUGUAUUUGUGUCUAAUAACUUGUUCAUUCUGACAAAUUAAAAAAAGAUUUUUUUUUACCAAUUAUACCCUUAAUUAUUUUUUUUGAAAAAUGUAGAACUUCUUGAAAAUAUUAAAUUUUUCAUUCAUCAACUUCAUAAUUACAACAGGGGUAAAAUGAUAAAUUCACCAUGUCAAUAAUUAUUUUCUUAAUAGGUGUGCCAGUUUAAAAGUGGACAAGUUAUUAAAGACAUAUGGAGUAAUAAUUAAAAACCCUUAGAAAGCGAAAUAAUUACUUUAUUAUUAAGGAAAAAGAGACGGAUAUAUCCCCGAACUUUAAUAAAUGGUAAGUCCAUGCCCUCCGUUAUACUUUGGAUCAACAUAAGCCCCUACCGUCCAAUUAAAGGUAAACAUAUACCACUCUCACUAAUUUUUUACACGUGUCUUAAUCCUAUUAAACUAUCCGUAUAAACUUUUUUUAACCCAUAAAUCCACUAUCCGCCCCAUAACCGAAUACUAACCCAAAUAAAGCAUGACUUAUAAUAUCCCAUUUCUAGGUCCACCUGAUGAAGCAGGAGGGUCUCAAUAAUGAAAUCCUCCCAAUCAACAUCAAAUUUCAUUUUCCUUUUUCCUUCUUCCAACAUUUACGUGUUCGAGGAAACUAUACUUUUGCAUAAUUAUAUUUUCAUAGGCCAAGCAACCACUAUCAAAAGAAGGAGGCAUAACAUAAAAUUUCAUUUUCCUUUUUCCUUCUUCCAACAUUUACGUGUUCGAGGGAAUUAUACUUUUGCAUAAUUAUAUUUUCAUAGGCCAAGAAACCACUAUCAAAAGAAGGAGGCAUAACAUCAAAUUUCAUUUUCCUUUUUCCUUCUUCCAACAUUUACGUGUUCGAGGGAACUAUACUUUUGCAUAAUUAUAUUUUCAUAGGCCAAGCAACCACUAUCAAAAGAAGGAGGCAUAACAUCCAAAUUCAUUUUCCUUUUUCCUUCUUCCAACAUUUACGUGUUCGAGGGAACUAUACUUUUGUAUAAUUAUAUUUUCAUAGGCCAAGCAACCACUAUCAAAAGAAGGAGUCAUAACAUCAAAUUUCAUUUUCCUUUUCCUUCUUCCAACAUUUACGUGUUCGAGGGAACUAUACAUUUGCAUAAUUAUAUUUUCAUAGGCCAAGCAACCACUAUCAAAAGAAGGAGGCAUAACAUCAAAUUUCAUUUUCCUUUUUCCUUCUUUCAACAUUUACGUGUUCGAGGGAACUAUACUUUUGCAUAAUUAUAUUUUCAUAGGCCAAGCAACCACUAUCAAAAGAAGGAGGCAUAACAUCAAAUUUCAUUUUCCUUUUUCCUUCUUCGUGUUCUAGGGAGCGAUACUUUUGCAUAAUUAUAUUUUCAUAGGCCAAGCAACUACUAUCAAAAGAAGGAGGCAUAACAUCAAAUUUCAUUUUCCUUUUUCCUUCUUCCAACAUUUACGUGUUCGAGGGAGCUAUACUUUUGUAUAAUUAUAUUUUCAUAGGCCAAGCAACCACUACCAAAAGAAGGAGGCAUAACAUCAAAUUUCAUUUUCCUUUUUCCUUCAUCCAACAUUUACGUUUUCGAGGGAACUAUACUUUUGCAUAAUUAUAUUUUCAUAGGCCAAGCAACCACUAUCAAAAGAAGGAGUCAUAACAUCAAUUUUCAUUUUUCUUUUUCCUUCUUCCAACAUUUACGUGUUCGAGGGAACUAUACUUUUGCAUAAUUAUAUUUUCAUAGGCCAAGCAACCACUAUCAAAAGAAGGAGGCAUAACAUCAAAUUUCAUUUUCCUUUUUCCUUCUUCCAACAUUUACGUGUUCGAGGGAACUAUACUUUUGCAUAAUUAUAUUUUCAUAGGCCAAGCAACCACUAUCAAAAGAAGGAGGCAUAACAUCAAAUUUCAUUUUCCUUUUUCCUUCUUCCAACAUUUACGUGUUCGAGGGCCAAGCAAUCACUAUCAAAAGAAGGAGGCAUAACAUCAAAUUUCAUUUUCCUUUAUCCUUCUUCCAACAUUUAUGUGUUCGAGGGAACUAUACUUUUGUAUAAUUAUAUUUUCAUAGGCCAAGCAAUCACUAUCAAAAGAAGGAGUAUAAUAAUUGAUUUAUUCCACUUGAUUUAUAGGCCAAGGAAACUAUACUUUUGUAUGAUGAUUGAUUUAUUCCACUUGAAAUAUUAUGUGCAAAGAAUUCUUAAUAAUUUUUGACACUUUUUAUUAUGUACAUAGGUAGAGGAAGGAGAAAUAAAGGGAGAACAAAAUAAUAAGUAGUAAUAUCAAUAGAAUGAGUUAGGACGGGGCAGGUGGGUUAAUUUUUACCCCGCCAUAGAUUCAACACACCCUACCAAACCCCAAUUAAUAUUUUUUUGUUUUUCAAUACCCACCCCACCCCUCCCUAAUUAGCCCUGCCCCACACCACCCCAUUUAGCUCCUCUAUUUUGUUUUCAAGUUCACAACGGUAAUUUAGAAAAAUUCAAACUAAUCAAAAUGUAACCAAUGAAGUUUUUAUUCUUGUUGGAUUAAGAGUAUUUCAUUAUUAUUAUUAUUAUUAUUAUUAUUAUUAUUAUUAUUAUAGUAUUAUAAAAGUUUGUAAUACUACACAAAAUUACCAAAAUUAGUCGUCAACUAAUAGUGAAAACAUUGUAUAAAUGGUUCUAAUUAGUAUUAAUAUAUAAAAAUUUCAACCCAAAAUUUGGCUUGCUUGGCCCAUUUAGAAUUUGAGUUGUGAUUCUCACGCCCUACCCUAUCCUACGAAAUAACUGAUUUCUCUAUAGAUUUUGAAAAUCUAAUUUUAAGUUUCUAUUUCAAAUCAAUGAUUGUUUAUGAUAUCAACACAUUAUUCAAAUCGUGAUUUUAAAUCCCAAAAUUGUCCAAAAAUUAGAUUUGGAAUUCCAAAUUGGAACUUUGAUUUGGUUUAAAAUAUGAACUUGACCUAUCAUUUAUAUUUUAAAUAAAAAGAGAUUCAUAAUUUUAAAUUUUGUAAAAUAUAAUAAUCAUUCUCGGUGUGAAGAGAUUGUUCGUAUAAUAUGAUGAUUUUAUAAAAGAAUAAGGAUGAUGCACAUGUACCCCUUCAACUUAUGCCCGAAAUCAGAGACACACUAAUACUAUACUAAGAUCCUAUUACCCACCGGAACUUAUUUUAUUAAUAAUUUUCUAUUCCUUUUCAGUCUACGUGGCACUAUCUUGUGAGCCCAACAUUGGUUGACUUUUUUUUCCAGACUAGUGCCAUGUAAGCCGAAAAGGGGUAAAAAAUUACUUAUCAAAUAAGUUCAGGGGGUAAUAGGACCUUAGUAUAUAAUAAGUGUGUCUCUGGGAUUUCAGACAUAGGUUGAGGGGUACUUGUGCAUUUUCCCUAAAAGAAUAGUUAGUUACUAUCUUUUAAAAAUGUAUUCAAUCAAUAAAUAUAUGUAAAAUUAUGUGAAUUUGAAAGUUUGUAAGAACAUUUGAACAUAAAUAUUUAUAAGUACAACAUAUAUGGAGAUGUGUAAUUUUUUUAAUUUAGCGCAUUAGUAUUCUUUGUACCUUAUUUGUGAACGACAAUUUGUGCAUUGGUUAGAUAGUACAAGAAUUAUUGGGAUAUUUUGAAAGUUUUCAAAAUAUUAUGGGCUUUUCCUUGUAAAUAAGAAAAAAAAUAUAAUUAAUGAAUUAUAUAUUGCAUUCUAAAACGAAAUUUCAACAUCAAAUCAACAUUAUUUCAAAUUAUGAUUUGAAAUCAUGUCAAAAUGGGCCCUUAGUUUGAUCGGACAUGAAAUUUCAAAUAUAAUAGAUUAUUUAAACCUUAUAGUUGUUAAUUAAAGACAUGUGUAAUAUACCAAAAUAUCCUUUGAUCUUGUGGUUUAAAAUAUGUCAUUAUGACUUUAAAGAAAAAGAUAUAUGGAUCGGUUAGCUAGUUAGCUUUUAUUUGAAGAAGAAUUUUAUCUGAUAAUAUUUUGUUGAGUUAUGAAUUGGUACGGAUAAAUAUAACCAAGAUGGAUAAUAAAACUGGAUCUUCAAAAAAUUUAGUUGAAGGAGACUUCACACAAUCGGUGCUAUAGGAACAUGCUUUGUCUCACAAUCGAAAAAUUCAAGUCAUAAUGACACCUAACGAUACCCACUGGUAGGUAAGCAAACCCAAGGCUGGAACGGAAAGAAACAUGACCUGGUGGACGAUGGUACAAAGCUAAUAAAAUGAGUACAAACUCCAUAAAUAAGCAAAAUAAGUAAAUACUUGUGUUGAAUACAAAAUAAUAGCCAAAAACUAUAUACAAAUAAAGAUGAGUCAAACUAGAACUAGGGGCGGCUCGACGUGAUUGAGGGCCUAAAGCGAAAUUUCAAUUCGAGGCCUAAAAUAUUAACAAACUUCAUAUACGUAUUUAUUCAAAAUUUAUUUUUCUUACAUUAUUUGAUAAAAGUUUUUAGUAUUUUAAUAUUAUUAGUUUUAGGUAAGAUUUUAUCAACUCUAAAUUGAAAUACAUCCUUUCAAUGAUACAAUUAUUAUACGAAUUGUUAAUAUAAUUCUAUAAGUAAUAAGUUGACAAAUAUUAAAUAAAGAUAAGAGUUAGAACCAUAUAAUUUGAUACAAGAGGUUGAUGACUUGAUAUACCCAUUUUAAUAUGCUUGUAGUAAUGCUUGAAAAUAAAUUUUAAAAAGAAAAAAAAGAAUUUGUAACUCACUUUGUUCAAUACUUUUCACUAUUAAUUCUUUUUAACAAAGAAUAAAAGAUGUUAAAGUGAGUGAAAUAAUAUAUAUUUUUAAAAACAUUACUUUUUAUAAUAAAUAAUUAUUUUUUUAUAUAAAAAUUUUAACACAUAAUUUAUUCAUUCUUGAUAAAAAUUUGGGGGCCUAAGGCAAAAGUCUUAUUCUCAAAGGCAUAGAGCCGGCACUGACUAGAACGCCAUGAACUCACCUUCGAUCUUUAAAUGUCCCAACAGUUGUACACGAGAUCAACGUGGUUGACUGGUGCUCGGGUCUGCAUAAAGAAAAACAAAUUCAGAGUGUAACAUGAGUAGUUCCAAAAUAAUAGGUAUCCAAUAGGGAUAUCAAAGGCCAACCACGCUUGGAAACUAAAUAUACAAUGAAAAGAGGGACGUAAAGUGGCAUCAAAGAGGCAGGAGAAUAGAACAAUAGUGAUAAGUCUAACCAUGCACCACAAUAAUCUAGCAAGAAGCGGGACAAUAAAGUAUAUCAACAAACUAUAACUUAACGAGAUCCGCAUAAGCCUAGCAGGUAUACUCAUACGAACUUGAAUGAAAAUAACCCAAACGGGCCUCCAUAAGCUCGAUUAGUACAUAGAAGAUCUACAUGUAAUUCUAAGAUUAGAUCUAUUCUAGAAUUGGAAAGUCCAAAACUCAGACUCAAAUUUCAGCUAAGGAGCCCAAAGGACCUAAUAGAAACAUGUUGCAGGGAUUGAAACUCGACUAAUAAUCUAAAAGGCUUACUACGGUCAACAUAACUCUUAUGCCUGCUUUGUGUGGAUCUAAGCAUAUCGUGAAUCAUACGAACUAUAUCCAAAGCCUCUUGAAGCAAAUCAGUACCACGUGACCUAGGCUCUGAAUCCUCCAAUGGGAGAGCGACAAUGCCUACCAUAUAAGGUCUUAAAUGGAACAAUCUAAAUACUCGAAUGGUAAAUGUUGUUAUACACAAACUCCGCAAAGGUUAUUUAGAACUAGUCCACUGACCUCUUGAAUCCAGCACACAUGACCGAAACAUAUCUUUCAAACUUGAAUAGUAUGCUUCAAUUGCCAGUCAGUCCGAAGAUGAAAAAUUGUGCUAAGGUCGUGUUAGGUACCAACUCCUCCUAAGGGUUUCUCUAGAAGCUAGAAGUGAAAUGGGAAUCCGUAUCAUAGAUAAUAGACACAUGCAUCCCAUGGUGACAAACUACCUCCUGAAUAUACACUAAGCUAACCUCUCAACACUUAAAGAAGACUGAAUGAUAAUGAAAUGUGCUAAACUAGUCAACUGAUCCACGAUUACCCAAAUACUAUCAACAACUCUGGAAGUCUGAGACAAUCCCAUAACAAAAUCCACAGUGAUGCGUUACUAUUAGAACUUUGAAAUGGGUAAUCUCUUAAACUCACCACCAAACCUCAAAUGGUCGAGCUUCGCCUGUUGUCAAUACAAGCAACAGAACACAUAAUCCACAGUAUCUCUACAGAUGCCACUCCGAAAGUCAAUAUAAUUAGAUUAUUGACAUUAUAUUUCCUGCCAUAUGUACUAGUAUAAUUGUCCAUCUGUUUAGCUUACAUGUCCAGGUUUGACUUGAUACAUCUCUUAAGAAAUAAUAAACAAUAAAAUAAAUUUAACAUACCAUCCCUAUAAAUUACAAGUCAUCGAAAUAAUUAUUUACCAUGUGCAUUUUUAGUUCAUGUAAUUAUCAAUACAAUUUCAUCUAUAAAAAAGCAUAACCACACAAAGUGAAAUUCACCAAAAUCAAUAAACUUAGAGAGAGAGAGAGUAUUAAAAACUUGAAGUAGUUGAAAAAUGGCUGGUGAGAAGGAAACAACUAAAGUGGCAAUUGAUAAGUAUAGGCGGUUCCUCCAUGAAGAUCAUGUUGCAGCUGCAGAAACUAUAGAGUGGAAACAUGGUAGCCCUCCAAUUUAUGACAGUGUUAAUAAUGUCUUUGAACAAGGAAGAACCAAGGUUUGUUAACUAUUCCUUCCCUCUCUUAAGUUAUGUGAUAUUUUUUCAUAUGUCAUUAAAAUAUUUUGAGUUGUUAGUUAUUGUAUUAUUUUGUACUCUCCUCCUGCCCAUUUACUUACUUUGUGAAAUAAUCCUUACUUGUUGAUUUCAAUUUUUUAUUAUUUUCUUUCAUCAUCACUUUAUAAUCUCUCCCUAACAUUUAUUGAUUAAGGUAAAUAUGAAAAUUAAGAAAUAAUAUAUUGAUUUUAUAAAAUGACAAAAUUUGGAUCUUCUACUUUUAAUAAGCACAGGAACUAAAAUGGAAUACUAUUUUUUUACGUGGUUUUUAAAUAUAUAAAUUUUAUAUUAAAUGAUUUAAAAAAUUUAUGUUGGAAUUCAGCUUUUAACAUGUGAUCAAUGUCCAUGAUUGAAGUAGUGAUUUUAUCAUCAUUUUUCUUGUCAAUAUGAUUUGUUCUGUUUGGUUUUGAUGGUUAAAUCAGGUAUGGCCAAAAGGAUCUCUUGAAGAAACAACACAAAAUUCUAUAAAGACGUGGGAAAUGGAGAUUAAAUACAAGACUUGCGUAAACGACAUUAGGACCAUUAAUCUUGAAAAAUUUAAGCUCUUUGUUAAUGGUAAGUCUUACAAAAAUCAAUUCUCAAUUGUUUUGAAUUAUUCUUCUUAAAUAUAAAAUACAAAAAGUAUCAUUUAUUUUGAACGGCUGAACAGGAAGAGAAGGACUGUCAGCAGAAGAGACACUAAAAGUUGGAUGUUACAAUGCGCUAUUGAAGAAUUCAAUGCCGAAUGAAUUCAAAUACCACAAAGAAGACGAAGAGACCUUUGAAUCGUCUCACAAUGCUUUUUGGUCAGCUUUUCCAAGAGGAUUCGCGUGGGAAGUGAUCAACGUGUAUACUGGCCCUCCCGUUGUGACAUACAAAUUCAGGCAUUGGGGUUUCUUUGAAGGACCAUUUAAAGGACAUGCAC
rnacentral:lncRNA from 1 species